AAGACGUAGGAACGGUAUCCGUCCACUAUCCAGUGAUAUUAUGAUUAGUCCACUAUCUAGAGAUCGGCGGUGUCACCAUUGUCACCCCGUUGGUCCAGAGGUCAAGGGUCAGACCACGGAGUGGUCAGAUCCAUGUCGAAUUGGCAUGGAAUGCACUAUUCUACGCAUUUAAAUUGUCGAAUGAUAAAACCAAAUUCUAUUUCAUUGCUCCGUUCAAUGCGAAAACCUACAAUCAUGAUCAUUAUUAUUCGAGUAUUUCUAGCUUUGACUCAAGUCAAGUCUUUCUAUGCAUAUAUUACAAUUGUCAUGCAAGAAUCAAAAUUGUUAAUGCUAAAACACCUAUUCUAUGACAAUUGUAGCACAUAAAUUGUUGAACAAACGUAUUUUCAAGCUUGUUCAGCUGUGAAAACUUCACCAUCACAUUACAUGUUGCAUGAAUGAUGACUUAUUAUCACUAGUCAGCCGCUUGCAAUACCAAGUGUCCAAACUAAACUCCAAGUCCAAGUCUACACAUGCAAAGAGAGCAAAGCCUGCCUUUGGGUAAGGCUAGGUGAUCAACGUAGACUAAUAAUAUCAAUGAUUAACAUCAUGCCAGCACAUGAGUGUGUAAACACAAGUGCUUAUCAGUCUUGAUGCACAGUUCGAAUGUCGAACAAUUUCGACAGCGGGAUCUGAAGAACAAGAGAGAAAAGAAAUACAACGGCUUUCCGAUGCAUAUGUGUUUUUGGUUCGGAACGGACUUAGGGUCGUUUCUUUUUCCAAGUUACAUCGUAAGUUCAACUUGGGCUUUGGUCAUGACUUGCAUAGGAUUGACAAGCCUGGCCAUUCUCUUUGAGGGCAUGAAAGUACUGCAAGUUAAACUGAGACUCGGCACCGUUGCUUCGAUGUCAGACAAUCAGCCUCAUUCCAAUGAAAACUCCUCCCUGUUGUCAAGAUUUUCUUCCGCAUCCUUCACCCAUGCUGCCUCCACAAAUUGUGGCAGCUGGCCGAGAUGGUUUUUAGAAGUAUUUCAUUGGUCUGCACACACAACUCUGGGGUAUCUGCUUAUGCUGGCUGUGAUGUCUUAUAACGGUUAUCUCAGUAUCGCAUUAAUCCUUGGAGGAGGUUUCGGGUAUUGGAUAUUUGGACCGUCACUUCACCAACUCAAUAUGCAUCACUUUGACGACCAGCACAAGAAUAUGCAAUGUGAUUUGGAGUGCUCAGAUGCAAUAACAAAUACCGAAAGACGUCAAUCAAGUGUGUCUGUAAUCGGAGAGCAGCUGGCAUCAGAAGCUAGCGCACAAGUGCACACGUGAUGGAGAUUUAGUAAAUGAGAAUCAAGACAAAAUAGGCAGUACGAGAUGAUCGAUACUAGCUUUAUGUAAUAAUUUAAUUCUAAGUAAGACUUGAGGAAUGACGUCUGUUUAAGUGACGAUUUUUCACAGUUCAGACAAUUUUUUAAAACAUUUUGGUAUUUCAGCUUUAAUUCUUAGAUCAAUGAGCUAUUGUACUGAUUGUGAGUUGAAAAAAGUGCUGGGUGAGCAAUUUUACAUCUACCUACUUUCGAAAUAUUUUUGAAAUUUCACUCAUAGAAAUAUAUUAUAUUAAUAAAAAGUCUAUUCAUUUGAAAACGAUUAGUUGUUACUUGAUAAACUAAAAUUGAAUGAAUUUGGUGACCAACAUCAGAUUAUAGGCACGGUAGAAAAGUAAUUUCGAGUGUCAACUAAUCAGCAUUAAGAAACUCAUCUUUUUCUGCAGUUAAUGCAUAGACGGCUUUUCGUAAUAACAAAUACAUUGGCAACGGUAGAAGUUAGGUAAUCCUUUUUUAAGAACGAAGUUCUCUGCAAUUGUAAAUACGACAUUUUCAAUUUUAAUCUCAGAAUACAUAUUCCGCUAUGGUGCCUAUCACGCAACAAUCACGUAAACUUGAUUCAAUGGCUGUGAUAAUAAAUCAAACCGUAAGUUAUUACUGCUUGCAAUUAAAAAACAUGAUAUUGCAGAAUAUUAGAAAAGUAUAAUAUCGAGACCAGAAAAUAUGAUACAGUAACUUAGAUUUGGUAGUGUUGCCUCAGCCAAAUAAAUUGACAUAAGUUACACACUAAAGAUAUCCUUGGAUUGUAAAACUUUUCAAGUAUAAAUUCGACAUCCAGCAUUGAUAUAAAUAUGAUAUGUGAAGCGAAAAAAACAUUAAAAUAAUUGAUAUAAGAUUGUUCUGGCAUCAGGGUACUGAAUUAAUCCUAAUGUGUUUGUUUACACUUUUUUCUACAUACUGAAUCUAUGCUCAAGGCUGCAAUAAUAUCAACUAAAUUUUUGAAAAUAUGUAGUAUUAGAAUCAAAGAUUUAUGAUAAUUCACCUGAGUGUCAUAUAGUGCUUGGUUGGUAUGUAUCGAUGUACGAGUCAGUAACCUGCCAGUCACAACAGCAAAUAUGAUCAAGACGGGCGACUGCGACGAAUACCAAUGCUCUGCUUGCAAAAAAGCAAUUAAAAGCCAGGUAGUACAAUGCAAGAGUGAUCCGAAACUUUUUUACCACCCAGGGUAUGUGAAUGAGCAUAAGAUACUGGAUAGGAAUCGUGAGCUAGUACAGUGCAAGGGUCCAUUCGAUACGUUUAAUGCAGAUGAUGAACGUCCGAAGGCAGUAACGCAGUUAGCAGGUGAUAGCAGAGAUCGUUUAGCAUCGACUGGACCGACGGGAGGAAUAAGAAGUAACAGUCCAUCGGUAGUGGUUGACACAAAAAUAGACUAGCUGAUAAAAACAGUGAAAGCAAUGAAGGCCGAAAUCGCUUGCAAGAAUGAAGUUAGGAAUAUGAUCCAAUAGAUAAUUGGUGUGGAAAUGGGAGGGCUGCAGCAACAGAUAUAAUCCAGCCGAAAAUUAAAAGCUCCAACUGAAGCAAAAUUGGUGUGACAUGCGCAUGGAUAGCUAGUUAUUAAAUAUGACCGACCGAACGCAGGAUCAAACACCAGCAUCGAGGAACCAUUCACUUGAGAAAUUAAUUAAAAAUCACUGGAAAUCACUGGGAUUCAAGAUGUAAUUUAAUAUUGACAAUCACUUUGAAAUUAGUAAUAUACCAAACAUCUCCAAACUUUUAGGAACCACUUGAAGAAUAUUGAAAUUCAAACUAAUUUUUAAUAUUGGACAUCAUGAGGGAAUUAAUUCUGAAUCGUUGAUGAUUUUAAAGCGAGUGGCCCCUUUGACCAUCACCGUAAAAUCUGUUCAUAGAUUUCUUUGUAUAACUUUAAAGUGCAUCAAAAGUAGUUUUAUAAUACCGCUUUAGAAAGAUUUGACACUUUGCACAUUCAGAAUUUGAAGUCUAGUCUUUCCACAAAAUUAUAGUGAUACCAAUUUAACAGCAAAGUUUCGUGUGUGUUGAUUUCCAUGUAAUUAAAUGUUGGUCACUCUGAAGUAAAACUUCACAAUACUGAAGGUAAUUUUUUACUAUUGAUGUUGUGUAACUUUCAACGAUCAAGACUUGAGCAAUUUGACAUUUGUUCACCUUUUAUUUUAUUUUUAGUGCCUGAUUCAGAAACGAGAUUUACUUGGAGUUCCAAUUGAUGAAUUUUAAACAAAAACUCAAUUCGGUGUUGCUAUAGGGAUUAUAUGAUAAAUGUCUGAAUAAUUAUGGAAACUUGGGUAGCCUGAUACUCUGCAAAUAAACAUGAUUGAUCGAAGUUUCAAAUAUAUGAUGCGAUAUAUGUAGCACUGAGUGCUCAGUGUAUCGAACAUAGUCAGAUGAGUAAAUUUGAACUAGCAAAGUAUAUCUUGCCAAUUGUAACUGACCUUCCGGGAUAUAAGACACAUAAAGCUUCGAACAAGAGAAGCCAGUAAUAUGAAUCCCAGCAGAAAUAUAUAAUUUAUAAGUUUCAAGAAAAGAACUGUUUGGAUACAAUAUAAACAAUAUAACUGGUCGUAGUGCUAAUUUCAUUUUUUGGACACUGAUUUAACUCGUAUAAUAUAAUGAAAAAAAGUGAGGUCACUGUGUUUCAUAGUCAUAGGUUCAGAACUAAGUAAAAAAUAUACAACAAACUAGUCAUAAUUAUUACACUACUCUAAAUAGGAUUGGUGAAUUGCGAAUUGGAUUUUCAUCAAUGUACGAGUUAUUUUAUUUUUUAUUCAUACUUAAUUAUUAUUUGUAGUUGGAUAAGUUUAUCGCCAGUCUGAUACCACUGACAGCAGUCGUCAUGCUUUUAUUGUGAAUUAACAGACAUGUACUUAGCAGUAGUAUGUAAUUUGAAUCUUUUUUUGUACGAGAUGAUUAUAUGCAUAUAUUUUUGAUUAAAGAAGAUAUUUUUGUGUGUAA